rnacentral:rRNA from 1 species
CCUUUAAUACAUAAGUAUGCGAAGGGAAACGCUUUUAGUGCUAGAGGAGUGGGUCUGUAUGGUAUCAGUUAGUUGGUGAGGUAAUGGCUCACCAAGACUAUGACGCCUAACUGGUUUGAGAGGAUGAUCAGUCACACUGGAACUGAGACACGGUCCAGACUCCGUACGGGGAGGCAGCAGGUGGGGAAUAUUGCACAAUGGACGAAAGUCUGAUGCAGCAACGCCGCGUGGAGGAUGACACAUUUCGGUGCGUAAACUCCUUUUAUAUAGGAAGAUAAUGACGGUACUAUAUGAAUAAGCACCGGCUAACUCCGUG